AUCAAAUAAUUAACUUGAUGAUUUUCGCAUCUGAUCUUAGUUCCUUAAGAAAAAUGGCUUCCAAAAAUGCAAUACUCAUUUUAGGGCUCUUAUUAUUAGCUAUGGUUGUUCUCAUUCCUUCAAAGAUAGCUACUGCUAGAGAUUUUCCUGAAAUAAUUUCCUCUAACUCUAAAGCAGUAGAAAUAUCAAACUCCUCAAAUGAUAAGGAAGUAGAAAGUUCUGGUGGAGGAAGAGAAGUUGACCAGCUUCCAAAAGGUUGCCAUCAUUGCUGCCCCCGGGUGCCGCGAUUCUGCACUGUUUGUUGCAACAAACCUCCUAGCGAUAACAACUUAUGAACAUUAUUAUAUGCUGUGUGUGUAAACCUUCUUAAUAAAAUAUUGAAAUAAGAGGAAAAGAAUAAAAAUUAUAUUAUGAUAGAAAUAAAAGAAGAUUAAGCCAUU